rnacentral:misc_RNA from 1 species
ACCUACUGUUUAAUUUUGAGGGUUCGUUUUUACGAAUACUCAAAAUUAGCACUUUAAGCAACGGGAUUUAUCCGUUGGCGCCGUGCUUUAGCACUUUAAGCAACAGAAUAAACUGAACGCAUGUGAAGUUUGUUUGUUGGCGCUGUGCGUUAGCACUUUAAGCAACGGGAUUUAUCCGUUGGCGCUGUGCGUUAGCACUUUGAAAACUGCAUAUAUAUUUAGUGAUAUGACAUCUAAUUUGUAAUAUAUAAAGCUGAUAACUUUUAAAAUUAUCGAAGUUGAUAGCUUCUAAUCUAUCAAAACUUUUUAACUGGUCA